GAGUGCCCUAGGCCUAGAGCGAAUUCCCGGCGUAACGGUGAAAUGCGUAGAGCUCGGGAAGAACACCGGUGCCGUAAGCGCUCUACUGGACGGCAACUGACACUCAGGGACGAAAGCAGCGGGAGCGAAUGGGAUUAGAUACCCCAGUAGUCCUAGCCGUAAACGACGGAUACUAGCUGUAGCUUGUAUCGACCCGACCUGUGCCGUAGCUUACGCGUUAAGUAUCCCGCUUGGGGAGUACGCACGCAAGUGUGAUACUCAAAGGAAUUGACGGGGGCCAGCACAAACGAUGGAGUAUGUGCGCUAAUUCGACGCGACGCGAAGAACCUUACCAGGGCUUGACAUCUCCUGGAAUCCCGGUGAGAGCUGGGAGGGCCUUCGGGAGCCGGAACACAGGUGGUGCAUGACACUCGUCAGCUCGUGUCGUGAGAUGUUGGGUUAAGUCCCGCAACGAGCGCAACCCUCGUCUUUACUUGCAAGCAUUAAGUUGGGCACUCUAGAGAGUCUGCCGGUGACAAACCGGAGGAAGAUGGGGAUGAUGUCAAGUCAGCAUGCCCCGUACGCUCUGGGCGACACACGUCCUACAAUGGUAGGGACAGAGGCAAGCGAACCUGCGAAGGCAAGCUAAUCCCAGCAAACUCGGCCUCAGUUCAGAUCGCAGACCGCAACUAGCAUGCGCGAAGGAGGAAUCGCUAGUAAUCGCCGGUCAGUAUCCGGCGGGAAUCCGUUCCCGGGCAUGUACACACCGCCC
rnacentral:rRNA from 1 species